GGGGCUUUUGAGGACCCGCGCGCCCUUGCACUUGCGCGUGCUUUCACACGCCCCGCUUUUGAGGAUCUCUUGACUAGAAAUAAGCUGCUGCCGUGCGACAAAGGUGCCGGAAAAGUCAGAAGAUUCUCCCUCCCCUCUCACUGAGAAAGCCAUUCGGGAGACUUGGCUGAAUUUAGUUGUCAUUUCUCCAUAGUCCCAUUCUGCCGUAUAAGCCUGAAACAUUUGAAGAGGAUUGGAUAUAAUUUGGACAGUCUUUUAUUCCAGUGAAGAAAUUGAAGAAGACAAUAAAAGAGGAAAAGACCUUCUACAUACAAGAACCAGAAGUAAGCUUUCAGCUACUCCUCCAACAACCAUGCCUGCUUGCCUGUCACCAUACUCCUCACCUUAAUGGUUAUGGACUAAACCUCUGAACUGUAGAGCAUCUGUGAGAGGAAGGAGGCUGCUGCAACCUAAGGCCUUNNNNNNNNNNNNNNNNNNNNNNGUUCACAAAGAUGGAUGGAAUGACCCCAAACAGACUGUUGGAUCUUGCUAUACAGAGUCUGCUCAGCAACGAGUCUGCAGCAAUCCAAGCUCUGGAGGACAUUCCAAGAGAGCUUUU
ensembl:processed_transcript